rnacentral:misc_RNA from 1 species
UCCGUGUUAACCACGGCAGUCUCUUUAGAGAGCCCAACUGAAUGCUGGCAACUAAAGACAAGGGUUGCGCUCGUUGCGGGACUUAACCCAACAUGUCACCACACGAGCUGACGACAGCCAUGCAGCACCUGUCAUCCGGUUGUAUUGCUACAAAAGUCGUAUCUCUACGAUUGUCCGGAGAUGUCAAGCCCAGGUAAGGUUCUGCGCGUUGCGUCGAAUUGAACCACAUGCUCCACCGCUUGUGCGGGCCCCCGUCAAUUCCUUUGAGUUUUAGCCUUGCGGCCGUACUCCCCAGGCGGAGUGCUUAACGCGUUAGCUACGACGCCUCCGGGGUCAAUACCAGAAACAUCUAGCACUCAUCGUUUACGGCGUGGACUAC